UGGUGUGGCCACAGAUGGAGUUGCAGAAACAAAAAGGAGCAGCCAGAACCUCAGCCAGAGGAUCCCAAGAUGGAAGCGAAGGGGCUGCAACCCGGUGCACUCAUGGCCAGAUUUGGGCGGAUGACCUGGAGAUGAAAGGCAUUAGCAACCCCUAACCGUCAGCCUUUAUGUGUUUGGAAACCUAGACCCAGCUGCUACCUACCCUUCCUUGAGUUUAAACACCACUCCCAAGAGUGUUGAAGUCCUCGUUGGCUGCUGGACAUGCCCGGAAUAAAAAGAGGAGCAA